rnacentral:rRNA from 1 species
GACGAACGCUGCCGGCGUGCUUAACACAUGCAAGUCGAACGAGGUGGCGAACGGGUGAGUAACGCGUAAUCAACCUGCCCUUCAGAGGCGGACAACAGUUGGAAACGACUGCUAAUACCGCAUACUGAAGGAGGGGAUUGCGUCUGAUCAGCUCGUUGGGGGGGUAACGGCCCACCAAGGCGAUGAUCAGUAGCCGGUCUGGAAGGGUGAACGGCCACAUUGGGACUGAGACACGGCCCAGACUCCUACGGGAGGCAGCAGUGGGGAAUCUUCCGCAAUGGACGGAAGUCUGACGGAGCAACGCCGCGUGAGUGAUGACGGCCUUCGGGUUGUAAAGCUAUGUUAAUCGGGACGCGGUACCGGAAUAGAAAGCCACGGCUAACUACGUGCCAGCAGCCGCGGUAAUAC